rnacentral:rRNA from 1 species
CACGUAGGGUGCGAGCGUUGUCCGGAAUUAUUGGGCGUAAAGAGCGUGUAGGCGGCCCGGUAAGUCCGCUGUGAAAGUCCAGGGCUCAACCCUGGGAUGCCGGUGGAUACUGUCGGGCUCGAGUCCGGAAGAGGAGUGUGGAAUUCCCGGUGUAGCGGUGAAAUGCGUAGAUAUCGGGAGGAACAUCAGUGGCGAAGGCGGCUGCCUGGCCCAAUACUGACACUCAGGUGCGACAGCGUGGGAGCAAACAGG